UACGUAGGGGGCGAGCGUUAUCCGGAUUCAUUGGGCGUAAAGCGCGCGUAGGCGGCCCGUUAGGUCGGGAGUUAAAUCCGGGGGCUCAACCCCCGCCCGCUCCCGAUACCGGCGGGCUUGAGUCUGGUAGGGGAAGGCGGAAUUCCAAGUGUAGCGGUGGAAUGCGCAGAUAUUUGGAAGAACACCGGUGGCGAAGGCGGCCUUCUGGGCCACGACUGACGCUGAGGCGCGAAAGCUAGGGGAGCGAACAGG
rnacentral:rRNA from 1 species